rnacentral:tRNA from 1 species
GUGCUAUUUUUGACUGUUAAACAAGGUAGUUGGCUGAUAGAUGAAAAUGACGAUACGUAUAUAGAGUAGUUCGGAU